UGCUCUUACACUCAAGGCCUUGCUUUUCGCCGCCGCCCAAUCGCAUCGCCGAGCCUGGUUUCAAGUCCGGUAAGCCUCGUCUUCUUCAUCGUCCAUGUCUUUGUUAAAUGAGUUGACUCGGUCUUUAAUAGGUGAAGCUUUACUGAUGGGAUAUUCUUCUAUACCCAACAAACAAUGUUGACGGUUAGAUCUCAUGUGCAGAAGUUGUGAAUAAGAGAACCCAGAUGGGAGGUGGUUGCGAGAGAAACCGGAGACGCCGCCUGGAAUAUGGAGGAGCCAAAUUCGAUAACCUCGGUCAAGUUAUUACGCACUUAGAAGGUGUUGAUGGAUUCGGAAAGUUAUUAUUCUCACUUCAAGGAAUGGGAGGACUAGGAAAGAUUAAGAGUGUUUACACUCUCAUUGAUACAGGGACUUUGUCAACAGGGCUUAUUGGUGUAAGCCUACGAGUUGCUGAGAGAAAUGGGAGGGAAAGACAGCUCUCAAUUCUUCCUGAAUCCAGAAACAAUUAGAGGUGUGCUUUCCUCUUGUCCUCCUCCUACCCUCAACAAUUUCAUUGCUCUGUUUUAUUCCCCAAGUGAGUAAUGCUGAGAUGCCCGCAAGGUGUUCGAUGAAAUGCUACACUCGCGUCCUCGGCCUCCUGUCAUCCCUUUCAAUCAGAUAUUGACUCAAUCAGAUAUAUCUCUGCUUGUCAAACUGAAACAAUACUCAGCAGUCAUCUCCCUGUAUAAACAAAUGUUUCUGCAUCGAAUUUCUCAUGAGAUUCCCAUCAUACUCUGUCUAUACUCAUCAAAUGCUAUUCCCAUUUGAAUCGAAUUGGUUUUAGUCUAUCUGUCUUUGGAAGUGCCUUCAAGUUGGGUCUUCAACCAGAUAUUAUUACUCAUUCACGGCUUUGUUCUCCACAAUCAAUUGCGCCACACGACUUUUCGACAAAAUGCUGAAAUAAGGUCAUUGUGAGCUUUGUUCUCCAAUACUCUUAUCAAAGGCUUCUGCAAAGAUGGAAGAACAAGGAUGUCAGCCUAACAUAGUUUCCUAUAACGCCAUUAUUGAUGCAAGGACACACUCAUUGAUGAAGCAUUUAAGUUUUUCUCAGAAAUCAUCAGUAGGGAUAUCACUCCAAAUGUUAUCAUCCUACACCUAGCUUGAUUCAAAUGAAGGCAAUGCCUUGGUUUCCCUUCCACAACCUGUCUUUCUUUCUGUAACUACUCUCUCCUGCAUCAACAAUUAGCUUCGGUGCAGCCUCUAGUUCAGAAAGGGGAAUGUCUCAGUUGUACUGCACAACCGAAUAAUUACAAUGUUUAACAUCUCUGAUAACUGCAAGCUACAUGCUGCGGGUCAUGACAAGUAUGGCAAGAAGGUAUUUUCCGCAGAGAAGGGCCAAGAAUGGAAGCGGUGCCACUUCUUAAAAACCUACUAUUGUGCAUGAUGGUUGAUUGAUGAGAUAGAAGACUAGAAUAUAUUAUGAGGCUGAGGCAGAUGUCUCAGUUUUGGACUUGCUGUAGAUGUGCUAGCAUGCAGCGUAGGAGCACAUAUACUACAUGUUUACAGUUUAUGAGUUAACCAGAAACUGGGAGUUCUUUUGUUAUGUGAGGCAACCCACUGAACUCCUAAACAUGUGAGCUUCCAUGCAGCCUAAACAAUAGUUCAGAUGGGAACUCCCAGCUUCUUGUUAAUAUGUACCUGGAGAUAGAAAAAUGGCUUUAUAAUACGAACAAGGAAACAUGUACCCUGGA